rnacentral:rRNA from 1 species
GAUUAUGGCUCAGAACGAACGCUGGCGGCAGGCUAACACAUGCAAGUCGAACGCACCGCAAGGUGAGUGGCAGACGGGUGAGUAACGCGUGGGAACCUUCCCUUUGGUACGGAAUAACUUCGGGAAACCGAAGCUAAUACCGUAUAUCUCCUCCGGGAGAAAGAUUUAUCGCCGAAGGAUGGGCCCGCGUUGGAUUAGCUAGUUGGUAGGGUAAUGGCCUACCAAGGCGACGAUCCAUAGCUGGUCUGAGAGGAUGAUCAGCCACACUGGGACUGAGACACGGCCCAGACUCCUACGGGAGGCAGCAGUGGGGAAUAUUGGACAAUGGGCGAAAGCCUGAUCCAGCCAUGCCGCGUGAGUGAAGAAGGCCUUAGGGUUGUAAAGCUCUUUUGGCGGGGACGAUAAUGACGGUACCCGCAGAAUAAGCCCCGGCUAACUUCGUGCCAGCCGCCGC